CCAGGCCAGACAAAGGCUCUGUGUCGGCCCAGCUGCGCGGGGCGGUAUUUACGGCGGCCGGGAGUUUAAGAAAACAGGGGCCUUCCAUCCACGGGCGAGCGCGGCCGGCGGGGGAAGCCCGGAGCUAAUUAAAUCUGCGCGGCCGGGGCCACAGAGGCCGAUUGUGCAGCGAGAGGAUGUUAACGCGCAUUUUAAAUAUUUAGUGUAACCGAGGAACUGGAGACUUUGAAGAAAUCGUGGAUCCGGGGCCGGGCAGGGAAGGACCAGGACUGGCUGAAGGGUCCCGAGCCAGGAGGAAAUGGGGUGCUCACAGACGCAAAGUCCCGCCCCGCAGAAACGUAUUAACUGCGGAGAGCGAAGCUUACCUUUGCCGCAGGGAACCCGGGCAGAUCUUCCUUCAUCAAAUGGCCAAAUCAGACCAGGCCCCCACGCCCUGUGGGACCCCUCCAGGACCCAGCGUCCCCUCCGGGACGUCCCCGGAUGACCAGCCCCUCCCGCAGCAAACACAGCAAACCACGCGCGCGCGGAGCAGCAGGCAGCCGCCAGCGACGGCCGUUCUGGAGAACGACCCGUUGUCCCGGCGAGGGUCGAGGUCGUGCCAGGCGAGGACAGGUCACUCCAGGCUGAAGGACAUUAAAGGGACGUGAGAAAGGACCUUUCCCAGCCCUCCUUGUCCAGCAGGGCCACCCAACCACUGCCACUCCGGGCCUUCCUGGGCGCUGCCUCCCCACCAAGUGACAGCAGGUACUCACCCGACCACACGAUGCCGUGGCCAGGCCACCGGAGGGAAGCCCCCCCAUCCCCGGAGGAGAGUCCCAUAGGAGGAGGCCCCCGUCCCCGUGGCCCAGAACUCACCUUGGAUUCUGCUCAGCUGUUGCAGCAGCUACUGUCUUCGGCUGGAGGAUCCCGGGGCCCAGGCGUCUGAAGGCUGGUGGCGCCCACGGGUGUGCGUGCGUUGCACACGUGCUCAGGACCACCCGUGCCCCUGCACAUAGGAGCCCAGCUCCCAGGCUCAGGACCCAGUGGGGCCAGCGCUGUGGGGAGGUGCCCACCCUGGAGGGCUCGGAUGGUCCGAGUG
rnacentral:lncRNA from 1 species